CGCGUAGGUGGCUAAUUAAGUCAAAUGUGAAAUCCCUGAGCUUAACUUAGGAAUUGCAUUCGAUACUGGAAAGCUAGAGUAUGGGAGAGGAUGGUAGAAUUCCAGGUGUAGCGGUGAAAUGCGUAGAGAUCUGGAGGAAUACCGAUGGCGAAGGCAGCCAUCUGGCCUAAUACUGACGCUGAGGUACGAAAGCAUGGGGAGCAAACAGGAUUAGAUACCCGCGUA
rnacentral:rRNA from 1 species